AGGAACUUAGGAUAACUAAGACCAAGAGCCUUCAAAGCUCUAAGUAGGGGUGAAAAACCCCUAGUCCCUG
rnacentral:tRNA from 1 species